AACGAACGCUGGCGGCAUGCCUAACACAUGCAAGUCGAACGAGACCUUCGGGUCUAGUGGCGCACGGGUGCGUAACGCGUGGGAACCUGCCCUUAGGUUCGGAAUAACUCCCCGAAGGGGGUGCUAAUACCGGUUAAUGUCUUCGGCCCAAAGAUUUAUCGCCUUUGGAUGGGCCCGCGUUGGAUUAGCUAGUUGGUAGGGUAAAAGCCUACCAAGGCGACGAUCCAUAGCUGGUCUGAGAGGAUGAUCAGCCACACUGGGACUGAGACACGGCCCAGACUCCUACGGGAGGCAGCAGUGGGGAAUAUUGGACAAUGGGCGAAAGCCUGAUCCAGCAAUGCCGCGUGAGUGAUGAAGGCCUUAGGGUUGUAAAGCUCUUUUACCCGGGAUGAUAAUGACAGUACCGGGAGAAUAAGCUCCGGCUAACUCCGUG
rnacentral:rRNA from 1 species